AGAGUUUGAUCCUGGCUCAGAUUGAACGCUGGCGGCAUGCCUUACACAUGCAAGUCGAACGGCAGCACGGGAGCUUGCUCCUGGUGGCGAGUGGCGAACGGGUGAGUAAUACAUCGGAACGUACCCUGAAGUGGGGGAUAACGUAGCGAAAGUUACGCUAAUACCGCAUAUUCUGUGAGCAGGAAAGAGGGGGAUCGCAAGACCUCUUGCUUUAGGAGCGGCCGAUGUCGGAUUAGCUAGUUGGUGAGGUAAAGGCUCACCAAGGCGACGAUCCGUAGCGGGUCUGAGAGGAUGAUCCGCCACACUGGGACUGAGACACGGCCCAGACUCCUACGGGAGGCAGCAGUGGGGAAUUUUGGACAAUGGGCGCAAGCCUGAUCCAGCCAUGCCGCGUGAGUGAAGAAGGCCUUCGGGUUGUAAAGCUCUUUCGGUGGGGAAGAAAUUGCUUCGGUUAAUACCUGGAGUAG
rnacentral:rRNA from 1 species